UACGUAGGGUGCGAGCGUUAAUCGGAAUUAUUGGGCGUAAAGGGUGCGUAGGCGGCGCGGUAAGUCGGGUGUGAAAUUUCGAGGCUUAACUUCGAAACUGCAUUCGAUACUGCCGUGCUAGAGGACUGGAGAGGAGACUGGAAUUUACGGUGUAGCGGUGAAAUGCGUAGAUAUCGUAAGGAAGACCAGUGGCGAAGGCGGGUCUCUGGACAGUUCCUGACGCUGAGGCACGAAGGCCAGGGGAGCAAACGGG
rnacentral:rRNA from 1 species